CAAUAGCGUAUAUUAAAGUUGUUGCAGUUAAAAAGCUCGUAGUUGGACUUCUGGCUUGGUGAGGUGGUCCGCCGCAAGGUGUGCACUGUUUUGUCGAGCCUUCUUCUCGUAGUUGGUGGGUGCACUUAACUGGGCGCCUAUUGAAUAUGGGACCUUUACUUUGAAAAAUUAGAGUGUUCAAAGCAGGCCUUCGCUUGAAUACAUUAGCAUGGAAUAAUGGAAUAGGACUUUGGUUCAUUUUAUUUGGUUAUUGAAUCAGAGUAAUGAUUAAUAGGGACAGUUGGGGGCGAUUAGUAUUUAAUUGUCAGAGGUGAAAUUCUUGGAUUUAUUAAAGACUAACUUAUGCGAAAGCAUUUGCCAAGGAUGUUUUCUAUUAAUCAAGAACGAAAGUUAGGGGA
rnacentral:rRNA from 1 species